GAGUUUGAUCMUGGCUCAGAUUGAACGCUGGCGGAAUGCUUUACACAUGCAAGUCGAACGGCAGCACGGGGGCAACCCUGGUGGCGAGUGGCGAACGGGUGAGUAAUACAUCGGAACGUGCCCAGUCGUGGGGGAUAACGUAGCGAAAGCUACGCUAAUACCGCAUACGAUCUUUGGAUGAAAGCGGGGGAUCGCAAGACCUCGCGCGAUUGGAGCGGCCGAUGGCAGAUUAGGUAGUUGGUGGGGUAAAGGCUCACCAAGCCGACGAUCUGUAGCUGGUCUGAGAGGACGACCAGCCACACUGGGACUGAGACACGGCCCAGACUCCUACGGGAGGCAGCAGUGGGGAAUUUUGGACAAUGGGCGCAAGCCUGAUCCAGCCAUUCCGCGUGCAGGAUGAAGGCCCUCGGGUUGUAAACUGCUUUUGUACGGAACGAAAAGGCGCGGGUUAAUACCCUGUGCUGAUGACGGUACCGUAAGAAUAAGCACCGGCUAACUACGUGCCAGCAGCCGCGGUAAUACGUAGGGUGCGAGCGUUAAUCGGAAUUACUGGGCGUAAAGCGUGCGCAGGCGGUGAUGUAAGACAGGUGUGAAAUCCCCGGGCUUAACCUGGGAACUGCAUUUGUGACUGCAUCGCUGGAGUGCGGCAGAGGGGGAUGGAAUUCCGCGUGUAGCAGUGAAAUGCGUAGAUAUGCGGAGGAACACCGAUGGCGAAGGCAAUCCCCUGGGCCUGCACUGACGCUCAUGCACGAAAGCGUGGGGAGCAAACAGGAUUAGAUACCCUGGUAGUCCACGCCCUAAACGAUGUCAACUGGUUGUUGGGUCUUCACUGACUCAGUAACGAAGCUAACGCGUGAAGUUGACCGCCUGGGGAGUACGGCCGCAAGGUUG
rnacentral:rRNA from 1 species